GGAGUUGGUAGCUCAGUGGUGGAGUUCAUGCUUUGUAUGUAUGAUGUUUUGGGUUUAAUCCCAGCUUCUCCC